GUGGAAUUGCGCAGCCUACACAUGCAGUCGAACGGCAGCACAGGACAGCUUGCUGUUUGGGUGGCGAGUGGCGGACGGGUGAGGAAUGCAUCGGAAUCUACUUUUUCGUGGGGGAUAACGUAGGGAAACUUACGCUAAUACCGCACACCACCUACGGGUGAAAGCGGGGGAUCUUCGGACCUUGCGCGAUUGAAUGAGCCGAUAUCGGAUUAGCUAGUUGGCGGGGUAAAGGCCCACCAAGGCGACGAUCCGUAGCUGGUCUGAGAGGAUGAUCAGCCACACUGGAACUGAGACACGGUCCAGACUCCUACGGGAGGCAGCAGUGGGGAAUAUUGGACAAUGGGCGCAAGCCUGAUCCAGCCAUACCGCGUGGGUGAAGAAGGCCUUCGGGUUGUAAAGCCCUUUUGUUGGGAAAGAAAUCCUGCUGGUUAAUACCCGGUGGGGAUGACGGUACCCAAAGAAUAAGCACCGGCUAACUUCUGCCGCCGGCCGCGCGGAUGCGGGAA
rnacentral:rRNA from 1 species